CAAGGGGGUAGCAAUACAACCGGCGCACGGGUGAGUAACGCGUACACAACAUGCCAUAUACUGGGGUAUAGCUUCGGGAAACUGAAGGUAAUCCCCCAUAACAUUGCGAAUAGGCAUCUAAUUGCAAUUAAAGUUCCGACGGUAUAUGAUUGGUGUGCGUUUGAUUAGGUAGUUGGCGGGGUAACGGCCCACCAAGCCGACGAUCAAUAGCUGGCGUGAGAGCGCGACCAGCCACACUGGAACUGAGACACGGUCCAGACUCCUACGGGAGGCAGCAGUAGGGAAUAUUGGACAAUGGGCGAAAGCCUGAUCCAGCCAUGCCGCGUGAUAGAUGAAGGCCCUCUGGGUUGUAAAUAUCUUUUAUCUGGGAAGAAACUCCUCUAUUCUUAGAGGCCUGACGGUACCAGAGGAAUAAGCACCGGCUAACUCCGUG
rnacentral:rRNA from 1 species